UACUGAGCGGCGGACGGGUGAGUAACGCGUGGGUAACCUGCCUCAUACAGGGGGAUAACAGUUAGAAAUGACUGCUAAUACCGCAUAAGACCACGGUACCGCAUGGUACAGUGGUAAAAACUCCGGUGGUAUGAGAUGGACCCGCGUCUGAUUAGGUAGUUGGUGGGGUAACGGCCUACCAAGCCGACGAUCAGUAGCCGACCUGAGAGGGUGACCGGCCACAUUGGGACUGAGACACGGCCCAA
rnacentral:rRNA from 1 species